rnacentral:rRNA from 1 species
AUGGCCAGCCACUUCGUCCUCAGCACCGGCGCCAAGAUCCCGUCGGUCGGGCUCGGCACCUGGCAGUCCGAGCCCGGCGUUGUCGGCGACGCCGUCUACGCCGCCGUCAAGGCUGGUUACCGGCACAUCGACUGUGCUCAGGUCUACGGCAACGAGAAAGAGAUCGGAUUCGCCCUCAAGAAGGUGUUCGACGAGGGCAUAACCAGCCGGCAAGAUCUCUUCAUCACCUCCAAGCUAUGGUGCACUAACCACGCGCCGGAGGACGUGCCGGUGGCGCUGGACGGCACGCUCCAGGACCUGCAGACCGACUACGUGGACCUUUACCUCGUACACUGGCCGAUCCGGAUGAAGAAGGGCGCCGGCUUCAGCCCGGAGAACGUGAUCCCGGCCGACAUACCGGCGACGUGGGCGGCGAUGGAGGGCGUCUACGACUCCGGCAAGGCCCGCGCCAUCGGGGUCAGCAACUUCUCGUGCAAGAAGCUGGAGGAUCUGCUCGCCGUCGCGCGCGUGCCGCCGGCGGCCAACCAGGUGGAGUGCCACCCCGUCUGGCAGCAGGCCAAGCUCCGGGACCUCUGCGCGUCCAAAGGGAUACACUUCUCCGCCUACUCGCCGCUGGGCUCGCCGGGGACGUUCAAAGCAUUCACCGUGCUGGAGCACCCGGUGGUGGUGUCGACGGCGGAGAAGCUGGGGAAGACGCCGGCGCAGGUGGCGCUGCGGUGGGGGAUCCAGUCGGGGCACAGCGUGCUGCCCAAGAGCACCCACGAGGAGAGGAUCAAGGCCAACUUCGACGUCUUCGACUGGUCCAUUCCGAGCGACCUGUUCGCCGGCUUCUCUGAGAUCGAACAAACAAGGCUGAUCCGCGGGAAAUUCUGGACUCACCCGGAAGGCCUGUUCAAAUCCGAAGAAGAGAUCUGGGAUGGUGAAAUAUAG